CCACUCGAGACCUCGCCACAGCGCACCUCACAGGAGGCCAGACGGGGACAAACAGCAGCGCAGCCCCAACAACAGCUGUAUCACAAGGGUGACGCUAACCCGAACCAGCAGGGGCAGAGGCUAGUCACAAGGCCCAAAAAAACGAAAGCUGGACGGCGGCAGAGGGGCAAGUACUCGCACCCCCCAUGCAAGGCAGUGAAACGGAGGGGACAGGCGAAACUGAGC